rnacentral:rRNA from 1 species
AACGAACGCUGGCGGCAGGCCUAGCACAUGCAAGUCGAGCGGACCCUUCGGGGUUAGCGGCGGACGGGUGAGUAACGCGUGGGAAUAUGCCCUUCUCUGCGGAAUAGCCUCGGGAAACUGAGAGUAAUACCGCAUACGCCCUUUGGGGGAAAGAUUUAUCGGGGAAGGAUUAGCCCGCGUUGGAUUAGGUAGUUGGUGGGGUAAUGGCCUACCAAGCCGACGAUCCAUAGCUGGUUUGAGAGGAUGAUCAGCCACACUGGGACUGAGACACGGCCCAGACUCCUACGGGAGGCAGCAGUGGGGAACCUUAGACAAUGGGGGCAACCCUGAUCUAGCCAUGCCGCGUGAGUGAUGAAGGCCUUAGGGUUGUAAAGCUCUUUCAGCUGGGAAGAUAAUGACGGUACCAGCAGAAGAAGCCCCGGCUAACUCCGUGCCAGCCGCCGCCGUAA